rnacentral:rRNA from 1 species
GAGGCAGCAGGAGGGAAUAUUGGACAAUGGGCGCAAGCCUGAUCCAGCCAUACCGCGUGGGUGAAGAAGGCCUUCGGGUUGUAAAGCCCUUUUGUUGGGAAAGAAAUCCAGCUGGCUAAUACCCGGUUGGGAUGACGGUACCCAAAGAAUAAGCACCGGCUAACUUCGUGCCAGCAGCCGCGGUAAUACGAAGGGUGCAAGCGUUACUCGGAAUUACUGGGCGUAAAGCGUGCGUAGGUGGUCGUUUAAGUCCGUUGUGAAAGCCCUGGGCUCAACCUGGGAACUGCAGUGGAUACUGGACGACUAGAGUGUGGUAGAGGGUAGCGGAAUUCCUGGUGUAGCAGUGAAAUGCGUAGAGAUCAGGAGGAACAUCCAUGGCGAAGGCAGCUACCUGGACCAACACUGACACUGAGGCACGAAAGCGUGGGGAGCAAACAGGAUUAGAUACCCUGGUAGUCCACGCCCUAAACGAUGCGAACUGGAUGUUGGGUGCAAUUUGGCACGCAGUAUCGAAGCUAACGCGUUAAGUUCGCCGCCUGGGGAGUACGGUCGCAAGACUGAAACUCAA